rnacentral:rRNA from 1 species
UACAGAGGGUGCGAGCGUUAAUCGGAAUUACUGGGCGUAAAGCGUGCGUAGACGGUUAUCUAAGUCGGAUGUGAAAGCCCCGGGCUCAACCUGGGAAUUGCAUUCGAGACUGAAUAGCUAGGGUGCGGUAGAGGGAAGCGGAAUUUCCGGUGUAGCGGUGAAAUGCGUAGAUAUCAGGAGGAACACCCGUGGCGAAGGCGAAUCUCUGGACCGGUUCUGACGCUGAGGAGCGAAAGCUAGGGGAGCAAACAGG